GACGUAGGGCGCGAGCGUUGUCCGGAUUUAUUGGGCGUACAGAGCUCGUAGGCGGCUUGUCGCGUCGACUGUGAAAACCCGUGGCUCAACCAUGUGGUCUGCAGUCGAUACGGGCAGGCUAGAAUUCGGUAGGGGAGACUGGAAUUCCUGGUGUAGCGGUGAAGUGCGCAGAUAUCAGGAGGAACACCGGUGGCGAAGGCGGGUCUCUGGGCCGAUAUUGACGCUGAGGAGCGAAAGCGUGGGGAGCGAACAGG
rnacentral:rRNA from 1 species